UUUUUUGCCUUGCCCCUGGGCCAGAGCCAGUGUCCUCAGUGUGGCUGGCAGGAGGCUGGGGCUCGGGACAAAGCCAGCAAACAACAUCAUCUGCUGCUUUCCUAAUCUGAGCUUCAGCUCCUUGGGGGAUGCUCAUCUUGACUUCAUUAUGCGUCAAUUAAUUAACUUGCACUGCUUGCUCUUUCCAUUUCCCCCUCAAGAAGUCACUGAGGCUGAACAACCGACCACAGCCCGGCAGGUCCCAUGGGAAUCACUACCAGGAGACACCACACCUCCUGCCAUACUUUGGCACUCCUUUCUUCAGGGAAGACAGCUGGACUCAUCAGCAAAGCUGCUGUGGAUUUUCCACAGAGCCAGGAUUGCAGCACAGGAGCUCCAUGAGAGAGGCAUCGGAUGGGGAUGAGUUGGGAACAGCAGGAAAUGCCUCAGCCAGAGCUUCUCCAUCACUCAGAUGUGAUUCAGAGCAGCAGCAGCAUUUCCACUCCAUGGAUCAGCUCACUCCUGAGCAGCAGCCGCGGUUUCAGGCUUUGAUGACAUCCACAUUUCACUUUCCCAGCCUGGCUCUGGGUGGGCCAGGAGCUACCAGUGGCUCCAUUUAAAUGCCCAGUUCUGAGGCAGAGUUUGAAAUCAUAGAUCUCCCUCCAGAAACGCUCUGGAAUCCUGCAUCUCACUGCUGCUAUUGGACUUGCCCUACACUCCUGCAGAGCUAUUGCACAGGUUCCUGCAGGUGCAGGAGCGGAGGGUAUUUAGGAUUGGUGGCCUCAGGAGCUGUCAGCGUCUCAGCAGGAUCACACCAAAGCUCUGCUGAGUGCUUGCCGAGCUUUCCGUUUCCCAUCCAAAUUUCUGCCAUCCCUGUUCACUCACCAUCUGUUCCCCACCCUCUCACCCCUCAAUACCUGCUCCCAUCCAGCCCUCAGCUUGUCUUCCUGUGGCCUCACUCCAUGUUCAUCCUUGAUCUGUUUUCCCACACCGUGUUGUGUCAGCUGCCCCGGACCACUCUUGGAAAGUGACUUUUGGUGCCAAGUCUCCCUUGGCCUGAUCAGCCUCUCCAUGGGCACAGCAGUGAGGAAAGCAGGAUGCCUCCAUGCAUCCCCUCAGCUCAGGUCCCUCCUGGGAGCCAGGGCCCUACCAUACCUGAGCCCAUGGCCCCAGGGCUGACUGCCACUACAUCAAAGUCAUUAUUCCAGCACCCACAGUGCCAUGCUGGCCCACAUUGCCUGACUCCCUGUUGUCUCCUUCCUCUGCUCCCGUGCUUCACUCACUCCAUGGCUUAAUGAUGAUGAAAACCACUGGCCACAUGAAAGCAGCCCCCUAAUGUGAGUUAGGGGCCUGUGAACUGCGUGGGAGGUACGGAGAGCCUGGCCCUGGCUGGAAUCAACAGCCAAGUCACUAAGGAGGUGAUGAGGAUUGCAGAGCUAGCGCAGUUGUGCGGCAAGGCGAGUGCGUCAGGGUGGCUGCUGGGCACGCUGGUGCCAUCCUCAGAGCAGCCAUGUCCUUUUAGUGACUGCUGGAGCCUAGCUGGGAGCAGGAGUGAUGCUGUGAGAACUGAGCAAAACCCUCAGAGCAGCCAGUGCCUCGAUACCUCGCAUGUGUUCAUGAUGAUUCACGCCCAGCUCUUGCACCAAGUAAGCCACCCUUGGCCAUUUUCCUCCCUCUUUCACCCAGGAACAUGAUCUGUGGGGAUCUGCUCCCUGACAGAGCACAGCUAGGGGUGAUGUCCCAGGGCAGGCAGUAGCUGGAGCUAUCCCAGCCGGACGGCGGUGCUUGGAGCAGGUACAAGGCUACAUCAGCCGGGGUCACUUCCAUCACACGAACCGCAAUCUCCCCUGACCUUCAUACUUUCCCACUGCCUCACAGCUCCCAUUGCAUGCACCCACUUGUGGUGUUGUAACGAGCAGAAGAGGAAACAGAUUUCCCAACCGCCCGCCCCUCUGGCAGCCCAUGAGCCCUCUGUGCUGGGAAUGGCUGCCAGCACGGCCAGGGCAGCUGGCUCACCCCUGUGCUGUGCUGUGCUGUGCUGUGCGUGCUGGGUAUGACCCAGAGUCUCACAGGAGAAGCAGAGAUGGGCUGUGGAUAAUCCCUGACUGAUGUUCAGGUAUUGCAGGCUGCUGCUUCCCUCCCACGGAUGGGAAAGCCCCCCAUCACCCAGGGUGAGCAGGGUGAGGUGAUGGAUGGCACUGCCAUGUUUUCUACCAGAAUCUCUGUCCUGCUCCAUGCAGGCAGCAGUUUUCUAGCACACAGUGGGAAGGAAAGAUGGGAUCCCCUGCUACAUAGCAGGGGAAGCCAGCAGCAUUGGAGUAGCUCCUCCACAAUCUGCUCAGUGCCUCAGGGCUUAUUGGCUCACAAGGAACCACCUGAUUGUGACUAAAAUCACCAGUGCCAAGGGAUGUGGACCGGGGCAGGGGUUCCUGGAAUGGACUUUUCCCCUCACUGCCAUCAUUGCCUUGAGAGGAGGUAGUCACUCGAUGAAAAUUCGGCCUCCCCUUCAUUUCUCCUAAAUUCAAUUCCAGGGAAAGAUGACACUGAGGCAGGAGAAAGGGAUUUUUUCUCCGGGGAAGAAAUGCAAACCACAUGCAGGCAGGCUCGGGCAGGAGGAGGGACUGGGGCUGCGAGAGCCGGCGCUCAGCAGCGAGGCCGAGCUAAAGUCAGUUAGUGCUUCAGGACUCUAAACACGCCUGAGUGCUGCGCUUUGAGCAGGCGUGAUCCCUGUCAGAGAGAGGCUGCCAGUAGGGUUUGAAAAUAAUUAGGAAACCCAGAACCCCUGUGCUUUCCAGAAAAGCCUGUUAGUUCUGCGGUGAAACCUUGCUUGCAGGGAGUGCAUCGCACAAACAGAGUCGUGACUCAUCAACUGGAUGGAGCUAAACUCCAUUUUUCGAAGGUCAACAUGCUCAAAUCCUAAUGAGCUUUACUUUUGGUGGGACUCCUCUGGUCCUGUUGUCAACCUGAAUUCCUGGGAUGCCCAAUACACCUGAAAGCAAUGGAGGACAGUUUCAGGGAAUGUAUUUCAUCCAGAGACACAAAGAGCUUCCAAGAGGGCAGUGAUGAUGGGGAAACUGAGGCACAGAGGGUUCAGACCACCAGUCCACUGCCUCCAGCCAGAGCCUGCACCCCACCAACCCCAUCCCUGCAGCCUGGGUGGACACUGCCAGCCCCUGCUCUUGGGGGAUCUCAACUGUGAAUCCAAGCUGUCCAGGACAGCCUUGGAGGAACAAAACAAGACAAUCAAUCACCCUUGCUUCAUCCUGCCCCAGUCUGCAUUGUGCGGAGCCUGAGGGACCCCACAUCAAAGCAGGAGCAGCUGGCUGCCGGGGUGUCCCAAGCUGGCUGCCGGGGUGUCCCAGCCCCAGACGGGCAGCGCCCUGCCCACAGGCUGCCUGUCUGCACUGCCCACACGGGCUUGGCCUCUGCUCACUGCCUGAGCCCCAGCAGCAAAGCCGGGAUGCAGCGCUGCUCCCUGCUCUGAGUACGGAGAGACGUGUCCGAGGUCACAGCGGCUGCAGAGAGCACCAAAGGUGGGGGUGCAUGGAUGUGGGGACACCACUGUAGCAUUCCAGGGCUGGCAGCACCCUCCCUCUGCAGGGGUGAGCAGGAGGUGGCAUUGCAUAUGGGGGAAGAGCCAUCCCAAGCUUAUCCUGGAGCUGUGGGAAGGCUGCAGAGCAAAGCCUGCUCCUGCCGUGCAGCUCCCGCUAUCCUCACAAGACCCUUUGCUUUGCAGUUCCUUCCAUGCCACACGGCGGGCGCUUCCCCCAGGCUGCAGCCCCAGCGCUGCUGCAGACAGUACAUUAAUUUUUGGAUGUCUUUUGCAGCUCCUCAGCGUUUCUCCCCAUCCCAGGCACGCACGGCUGGGAUGAGGCAAUGUUCUCGGGGAGUAUUGGCUUCCUGGCUGGUGGGGAAUAUUCCUUGAUGAAACUGGUCCGACAUGCUGCCCAGUGGGGUUGGGGAUGGUGAGGGCAUGCAAGGGGUUCAGUUGUGGUGGGCUGGGCUGCACCAUGGUAAACCAGCAGUGCUGACCAUCUGGGAUGGGGCAUCUGUGCAAGGGAGAGCACCUGGAUUCCCCUGGAGCAGUGCCAUAUGUGGGUGCAGCAGUGGAUCAGCAGUUUGGGUACAACCCUCCAGAUAUCCCCUAUUUUCCCUCUGGCAAAGGGCAGAGUGGCUCUGCCCUGUGACCACAGCAUGGGAAAGAGCAGGGAGGACAUGCUUCUGGCAGCCUGCAGGACACACGUGCCCGUGGUGGGUAACAAUUGACAUUUUUUCCAGUUCGUUAAUUAAAACACA
rnacentral:lncRNA from 1 species